GGCAAGACAAGCUUUUUGCCUUCCACCAUGACUGUGAGGCCCCCCAAGCCAUGUGAAAAUGAUACUGUCCCAGAGCAGUGACCCAGCCAGCUUGGAUGCAUGGACUGACAGACACUAUGAAGCUUCAGAUACACAUGAGCCUCUGACCAUAGACUGGAUGUGAAAGUGUGGGAUUUCCAUGUGAAAUAUAUGCAGCAGAGAGUACGAGCUUUGAUAGGUGCUUCCAUGGAGACAGUGGUUUGCAGGAUUAGCUAUCUGCAUGGCAUACAAAUUUGAAGAAAAUGCAAAUACCCAAUGAGGAAAUUUGGAUUCAGCUAAUGUAAUGCCUACCUAGGAAGACCAAAAACCUAAAUGGGAUAAGAAAAGUAAAGCACAGAUAUCUUUAAAAAAUACUUACCUGAGGUAACACAGCCAGUAAGCAGCGGUCAGAAGUUGAACUCAGGCAAUGUGGCUUCAAGAUUCAUGCUUUUACUACAAUGAUAUGCUACCUCUUGGACAGGUACUUCACUGACAUCCUGGAGUUCCACAACUUAUGAGAAGCAGCUUUGGAACUGGGUAACAGGCAGAUGUUGGAACAGUUUGGAGGGCUCAGAAGAAGACAGGAAGAUGUGGGAAAGUUUGGAACUUCCUAGAGACUUGUUUAAUGGUUUUGACCAAAAUGCAGAUAAUAAUGUGGACAAUGAAGUCUAGGCUGAGGUGGUCUCAGACGGAGAUGAGGAACUUAUUGGGAACUGGAGCAAAGGUGACUCUUGCUAUGCCAUAGCAAAGAGAAUGGAGGAUCUCAAAAGAAGACAUUCAUGCAGCCAACAGACACAUGAAAAAAUGCUCAUCAUCACUGGCCAUCAGAGAAAUGCAAAUCAAAACCACAAUGAGAUACCAUCUUACACCAGUUAGAAUGGCGAUUACUAAAAAAUCAGGAAACAGGUGCUGGAGAGGAUGUGGAGAAAUAGGAACAGUUUUACACUGUUGGUGAGACUGUAAACUAGUUCAAUCAUUGUGGAAGACUGUGUGGCGAUUCCACAGGUAUCUAGAACUAAAAAUACCAUUUGAUCCAGUGACCCCAUUACUGGGUAUAUACCCAAAGGAUUAUAAAUCAGGUGGCUAUAAAGACACAUGCACAUGUAUGUUUAUUGUGGCACUAUUCACAAUAGCAAAGACCUGGAACCAACCAAAAUGUCAAUGAUAGACUGGAUUAAGAAAAUGUGGCACAUAUACACCAUGGAAUACUAUGCAGCCAUAAAAAAGGAUGAAUUCAUGUCUUUGUAGGGACAAGGAUGAAGCUGGAAACCAUCAUUCUGAGCAAACUAUCGCAAGGUCA